rnacentral:rRNA from 1 species
GACGAACGCUGGCGGCGUGCUUAAUACAUGCAAGUCGAGCGCGAAAGUGGGGCAACCCAUGAUUGAGCGGCGCACGGGUGAGGAACACGUAGAUUAUCUGCCCCUGAGACUGAGAUAACCGCGGGAAACUGUGGCUAAUACCGGAUGAAGCAUUAUUAUUGGGUUAAUAAUGUUAAAGUGGCGCAAGUCACACUUGGGGAGUGAGUCUGCGACCUAUCAGCUAGUUGGCGGUGUAAUGGACCACCAAGGCGAAGACGGGUAGCUGAUCUGAGAGGAUGAUCAGCCACACUGGGACUGAGACACGGCCCAGACUCCUACGGGAGGCAGCAGUAGGGAAUAUUGCGCAAUGGGGGAAACCCGGUACGACGCAGCGACGCCGCCGUGAGU